rnacentral:ncRNA from 1 species
CGGGACGAGUGAGGGAGUUCGACCGGAGUAGCCGACUGUGGCGAGACGCUCAGGCAUCCGCCGUGGCCGACGUCGACGGUCGGGCUGAGAGGCCGGAAGGCAGUGGUCGGGCCGGAAGGCGACCCCCAGCACCUGAUCCGGGUAAUACCGGCGAAGGGAACCCGUCUCGUAGGUUC